rfam:Schistosoma rodhaini strain Burundi genome assembly, scaffold: SROB_scaffold0008646
AUCCAGCUGAUAAGUCUCAAAUAGGACGAAACGCGCAUCCUGGAU